rnacentral:pre_miRNA from 1 species
AUCUGAGCUGGGAGGGUCCCUCUCCAAAUGUGUCUUGGGGUGGGGGAUCAAGACACAUUUGGAGAGGGAACCUCCCAACUUGGCCUCUGCCUUCAUU